rnacentral:lncRNA from 1 species
CCUCCCGGCCCCCUUCCCUCUUGUUUCCUUCUCUGGGGUCAUCUUUUACCUCCCUGCUCAUUUGUGUGGCUGUUUCCAGAAUGGUCAAGUCCACAGACCCCAGGUUCAUUCACUUGGGGUUGCACCUGUGAUGACCCUGGGCUCUUAUAGCUUGAUGAUAUCCCAUGGUCAGGACAGCAGAGUUGAGUUAUCCAUUCAUCUACAAGGACAGCUGAUCAAUUCCAAACACUGGCAGUGAUGAAAAGAGUGGCUGGGAACAUCUGGAUGGAGAUCUCCUCACUUGGAUAAACACCUAAGAGUUCCAUUACUGGGUCAUGUGCUAGGGAUACAUGUAGUCAUUUUCCCCAUGACAGUCUCACCUAUCAUAUUUUCCCCAGAAAGAGCAGAGAAACUUUCUAUUUCCCUGUGCCCCACAGCUAAGCAUGGUGCCUGGGAAGUGGCAGCAACUGCUGACUGACCACAGGUGACUUGGAAAUCUCCAGCACCAAGUUGGAGCCACUAAGAGGCUCUGACCCAGUUUCCAGCCCAUGCCCCAGGGCAAAGAAGCAAACCUGAGGCCUCCAGUCAGGCAGAGCAGAAAGGGGACGGCAUAGCUACCUUUCACCUAACAGUUUGAUUCAGAGAGAUGAAAGAGAAAAGCAAACUCUAAAAACCAAGUCAAAAUUGAUGGAGAAAUAAGAUACUUUCAUGAUAAAGAGCACCUCAGGAACUUCAUGAACACCAAACCAGCACUCCAAAAAAUUUUAGACAAUACCCUAGGAAAAGACAAUGAGGAUCACAACCCCAGGAAACCCAGCAGAAUGAAUCCAUUGGGUGUGACAAAUUAAAUGCGAAGGGGGAG